UCUAAAUGAUUAAAAGCUAUUUUCCACUGCUGUUGCCAGCCAUAUUUCAGAAUGAUUUUAUAAUCAGUAUAAGAACAUUUAUUUUUAAAUAAAUGACCAAUGAGUUAAAUUGAUCAAUUUUAAUUACUUCCAUUUGUGUUUUUUUCCCCCCAAACCAUAUAUCUAAUAUUUACUAUUAAAGUUACUAUUAAAGCUAUGGUUGAGUCAAAAAUGAGAAUGAGUUACCUGAAAUACUGGUUAAUCCCUGUUUCUUCUCAUUUUUGAGACAUGUGGAGCAUGUAUAGGAGAGCUCUUUUUCAAGCCUAGCCACAAUGCCAAGCACCAAAGAAAACACAGGUUUCAGGAAACAUAUCUGCCAAUGAUUUCUGUGGGGCAUAACAGAACUUCUCAAAAGGCCUCAACAUAUGGAAUUCCAUGCUGCUGUGCAGAUAGCCUGGCAGGAGAGAUCUGGUGUGUGAGGGUCUGAGUCCUCCAGUGGAGAAUGAGGAGUUGUCCAGCUUCCUCCAGGCCUGCAGAGUGGACGUCUGGGGCCAGAUUGAUUUGCUGCUGCCGCUCUGUGCUUGAACACCUAUUCCGGUAAUUAAGCUGAAACCAUGGCAUGACUUGAUUUAGAGAGACGGAUGUUAGCUGCUUAGAUCAGCACGUUCCAGGAACCUUCCAUGAAAUGAUUUUCCUACAAACCGCCAUCACUUUAAGAAACUCUCAGAGGUGAUAACCCUAAACACCUAUUUAACAACCAAGUUGUCACGAAGAUAGUACAAAUCAAGAAGAAGAAAAAAAGAGCAUAGUUUCAGAGGGAAUAUUGGAUGCAAUUAAAGUUAUUGGUGAUUCACUUACCAUGGGGCAGGGAGAACCAAAGCACAAAGCAUUGCAAACUGUAACAUAACACAGACAGCAAGACAAUCCAAGGAGGAUCCCAUUAAACGCUGGUAUAAUUGAAGAUCACUGAAGAAUCCAAUGUGACUUACAGGAAAGUAUAUGGGGAACAAGCAGAGUUCUGCCAGGACAUCCGCUCCAGGAUGAGGAGGGACAACAUGGAAAUGAAUGAAGCCAGUGCACUAGGUGGAACAUUCAUGCAUCUGAAAGCCAGAUCUGAGGGAAAGUGUGACAUGAAAGCAAACAUGUGACGUCAUAGAAGACAAAAAAUACUGAAGGGCAUCUUGUACUACAAAUGUCUUCUGUUCAGCUGAGCACCCCCUGAUAAAUCAUGGUGUGAGUUCAUCCUCAUAAAACUAUGUAAAUCUAAGAUUUAGGAUGAAUACUAAGAUUUCCAAGAGUGAUGAACAUUUAUUUUGCAAUGGAUGCUGCCAAUGGCCAGAUUUGUGCAAGAAUGAUGAAGAGAGGAUCUGAGUCUGUUAGCCAUACAAUUUUUUAUUGUCAAGGUUCAUUUCUUUAGAAUACUUUCAUAAGAUACAUGAAUGUAACUGACACAAAAGUGUUUUUUUUUUAAUCAUUAACUUUCUGAUUCACAUAUGACUUUCAUAGCUCAAUGCGAUCAUUUUAUUUUCACAUUCUUCUCUGCCCACUACCUGGGGAGAUUCUAAAUUCCUUCCAUUUACUUAAGGCUUAUUUUAAGCAAUUUUGCUCUUGACUCUAUGGUGCUGGCUCCUUCUGACUCUGAUCCAUUCAGGAGUGCAGCUGAUCUGGACUCUGUUCUAAAACAAUCCCAUAAGAUUUUGCCAGUGGCUGAAAUCCAGUUCUUCCACUUGCCUUAUCCUUGACCUUUACCUAUUUGGAGAUCUGAAGCUGGAGGCCAGUCCCAUGUGAUUUUUGAGUGGUUCCUCAACCAUGUUCUUGUGAGCAAUGCUUGAAUCCAGACCUCUUCCCCACAUACGGUGGGUGCCCCGCUCUCCUGCCAAUGUGAUUGGCCAUGUGGAAUGCAGUCUUGUUCCUGCUCCCUUAACAUAGUCACUGAUGAAGCCCUUGGUGACUGACUGAGGUGAUCCAGUUUGAUAUUCUGCUGUGAGCUAAGUGCUGCAGAGUAUAUAUCCUUCCUUUGAUUCAGAUAAGAUCCUUCCUUAAUCCAGAAUCAAGUCAUUUGAUUCUUCCUCUAUUUUCACUGGUGGUGAAACAAACAAAUAAAAAAAGGUCCUCUGGUAUGCAGUUCAAAGGCUUUGAAGUGGUGAAAAGGAUAUAUUUGGCGUUGUGGAAUUCUGAAUUAUAAAAAAAGAAAUACAAGUGAAAAAACUGCAAAAUAUGUUUUGCAUAUAAUAUAUUUUGUGAUAAAUAUCAACAACUUUUAGGAACUUGGAAAUUCCCAAUAAAUGACUAUCACAGAUGGUUCUAUAAUCUGGUUGGUCACUUUUAUCAGUGUCCAAGUUGGUAGCUAACCUGGUUAUGAAUUUUAACUUUGCUACCGUGUGCAUGUGUAUUUAUAUAUUUUUUAAAAAAAUUCAGGACUACAUGACUAUAACUUUCAUAUUAAUAUGCAAUAUUAUUAAAAGUCAAAAAAUCAAACUCAGAAGCAAUCAGGCAAUAAUUCUACCUAACAUAAAACAAUGGUUUUGAUAAUUAUUAUAAACUAUCCCUCCUGAAUUAAACUGUAGAUGUUCACAGGAGAAUACUCACGAGAUUUAUUGAAGCAGAUAAUUCCAUUAUAUUAGUAUAGAAAUAGGAAGCUGGAAAAGGGGACAAAAGUGUCAAUCAAUAUGUGUGCAUGGAGACAUUGCAGAAUUUUUGCAUGUAUUUUUGCCCAGUAAUAGAUUUUGAAGGUUAUUUAUAAACCUGAAGGUGUUUUUCUUUUAAAUUCCUUUAUUUGCAAAAGAGAAAUGAUGUAAAUUGUUUCACAUCAUAAAAUAGUACAUCAUAUUUUUCUUUAAAAUAGAAUCCCUUGAUUAUAAGAAAUUGUAAAAAAAAAAACAAACACCUCCAAUUACCUAUCUGGUGCUGAUUCCCAACUUGGCCUUCCCUUACUUUUUUGGUUUCUCUCUUCUGAAUAUAUUCUAGUUUGUUUUUGUCUCAAGCUAUGGUACUCACAACCUAACCCAAUUCUCCAGGUGCAAAUUGGCAACUACAGAGAAGAAAGCAACUGUCUUCUUUCUUUUUUCUUUCAUUUAUUCUUUUUUUUGCAUCUUUCCUUUCUACCUUCUUUCCUUCCAUUCUUCCUUUGGCAAAUACUGAGAGUAUAAUCUAUAUUUGGCACUGUAUUAGGUGCUGGAGAUAAAAAUGAGCAAAAAAAACCAUGGCCACUACUUUCAUAGAGCUUAUAAUCUAGUGAAGGAUACAGAGAAGAACAAAUGAUCUGACAAAUAAAUGUAAUAUUGCCUCUGUAAUAAGUCCUAAGAAAAGGUAUACAGUCUUAUGAAAACCUGUAGUUAGAGGAUUUGAGAUAAUCAGGGAGCUCAAAGAGACUUCUCUUGAGCAGGAUGCUGAAAGAAGGAUAGAGCUAAGAGGGUGAUGAGAAGACAGAAGAUUGUCUUGGAGACAAGCAUAUGCAGUGGGAAUGGGUAGGAAAAACCCUUGUGAAGGUAUGAGGUAUGGAAAGAAGUCCAACACAAAUGGAGCAAAGAAAG